GACGAACGCUGGCGGCGUGCUUAACACAUGCAAGUCGAACGGAAAGGCCCUGCUUUUGUGGGGUGCUCGAGUGGCGAACGGGUGAGUAACACGUGAGUAACCUGCCCUUGACUUUGGGAUAACUUCAGGAAACUGGGGCUAAUACCGGAUAGGAGCUCCUGCUGCAUGGUGGGGGUUGGAAAGUUUCGGCGGUUGGGGAUGGACUCGCGGCUUAUCAGCUUGUUGGUGGGGUAGUGGCUUACCAAGGCUUUGACGGGUAGCCGGCCUGAGAGGGUGACCGGCCACAUUGGGACUGAGAUACGGCCCAGACUCCUACGGGAGGCAGCAAUGGGGAAUAUUGCACAAUGGGCGGAAGCCUGAUGCAGCAACGCCGCGUGCGGGAUGACGGCCUUCGGGUUGGAAACCGCUUUCGCCUGUGACGAAGCGUGAGUGACGGUAAUGGGUAAAGAAGCACCGGCUAACUACGUG
rnacentral:rRNA from 1 species